rnacentral:rRNA from 1 species
AGUGAACGCUGGCGGUAGGCCUAACACAUGCGAGUCGAACGGCAGCACAGUAAGAGCUUGCUCUUACGGGUGGCGAGUGGCGGACGAGUGAGGAAUACAUCGGAAUCUACUUUUUCGUGGGGGAUAACGUAGGGAAACUUACGCUAAUACCGCAUACGACCUACGGGUGAAAGCAGGGGAUCUUCGGACCUUGCGCGAUUGAAUGAGCCGAUGUCGGAUUAGCUAGUUGGCGGGGUAAAGGCCCACCAAGGCGACGAUCCGUAGCUGGUCUGAGAGGAUGAUCAGCCACACUGGAACUGAGACACGGUCCAGACUCCUACGGGAGGCAGCAGUGGGGAAUAUUGGACAAUGGGCGAAAGCCUGAUCCAGCCAUACCGCGUGGGUGAAGAAGGCCUUCGGGUUGUAAAGCCCUUUUGUUGGGAAAGAAAAGCAGCAGGUUAAUACCCCGCUGUUCUGACGGUACCCAAAGAAUAAGCACCGGCUAACUUCGUG